ACCUCUGUGGUGAAAUAGGGUAUCACAGCAGACUUCUUUCUGCUAUUCUAGGUUCGACUCCUAGCAAGGGCG
rnacentral:tRNA from 1 species